rnacentral:rRNA from 1 species
GUGCUAAGGUAGCAUAAUAAUUUGUUAUUUAAUUGAUAACUGGUAUGAAGGGCUUUAUAUGAUUAAUAUGUGUUCUUUUUAUUUAAGUAAUUUGAAUUUUAAGUAAGAAUGCUUAAAUAGUAAAGAGGGACGAUAAGACCCUAAAAGCUUUAUUUUGUUAUUUUUUAAUUUUUAUUAUUAAAUAUAGAGAAGAAGUUAAAUUUGGCUGGGGCAGCAGGAUCUUGUAAUAGAAUCGUUUAAUGCGUUUUGGUUUUUGGUCUUUUAGAUAAGAAUAAAUAGAGUAAGUUACUUUAGGGAUAACAGUGUAAUAAGUUUGGAGAGUUCUUAUCGAUAAAUUUGUUUGCAACCUCGAUGUUGAAUUGAAUAUCCUUUAUGGGGUAGUUUUUAUAGAAGGGGGUUUGUUCAACCUUUAAAUGUUCACAUGAUCUGAGUUCAAACC